rnacentral:rRNA from 1 species
AAUCCCGUGAACCAUCGAGUCUUUGAACGCAAGUUGCGCCCGAAGCCAUUAGGCCGAGGGCACGUCUGCCUGGGCGUCACGCAUCGCGUCGCCCCUCCCAUCCACGCAUCAGCGGAUUCGGGGGGGGACGGAGAAUGUCCGCCCGUGGGCUCCCCCGCCUGCGGUCGGAUC